rnacentral:snRNA from 1 species
GUGCUAGCUUUGGAGGUACAUCAAUUAAAAUCAGAAUAGAGAUUAGCAUGGCCGCUUUGCAAAGAUGACAUACAAAUUCGUAGAGUGUUCCUUUUUUUU